rnacentral:tRNA from 1 species
GGGCGUAUAGCUCAGUUGGUUAGAGCGCGUGCCUCACAUGCACGAGGUCUCUGGUUCAAGUCCAGAUACGCCCA